AAUCUUGCUCAAUGGAGGGAACUCUGAUGCAGCAACGCCGCGAGAGUGAAGAAGGUUUUAGGAACGUAAAAAUCGGUCAUUGGGGAAGAAUAAAUGACGACACCCAAGGAGAAAUCACCUACAAACUACGUGUCAGCAGCAGCGGUAAUACGAAGGGGGCGAGCGUUGUCCGGAAUUACUGGGCGUAAAGGGUCCGUAGGCGGCUAUAUAAGUCAGGUGUGAAAUACCAGUGCUUAACACUGGAAUUGCAUUUGAAACUGUGUAGCUUGAGUGCAGGAGAGGAAAGUGGAAUUCCUAGUGUAGCGGUGAAAUGCGUAGAGAUUAGGAGGAACACCAGUGGCGAAGGCGACUUUCUGGACUGUAACUGACGCUGAGGUACGAAAGCGUGGGUAGCGAAC
rnacentral:rRNA from 1 species